AGUUCUGUAAACAAAUUCUCAACUGCACCAGAAGGCCUGACAGUUAAGAGAACCCAGUGAAGAAACCUUUUGCAGAGAGAGAAAAGAACCCUUUUGAAUGUGAUCAAUCACGCUGAUUUAUUUGGAUGAUUUCUCUUCUGGAUUUCCUUAAACCAGGGAAAACCCAGGGACAGCAAUUGCUAUAAUUGAUGCAAACGAUCCCAGCCACACUCCCUGAUCCUGGUUCUGAAACUCAGAGAUGCAGCUGACCAGACUGAUGUGGCCAGCCUCACUCUGAAGGAUCCUGCAGCAGACAAAUUGCUGGAAUGUGUUCAGACGGAAUCCAGCUGCUACAACCGUCACACAAACUUCCUGAAAUAGAGGACAAAAGAGACAGAGGUCUUGCUAUGUUGCCCAGGCUGGUCUCAAGCUCCUGGCCUCAAGCGAUUCUCCUUCCUCAGCCUCCAAAAGUGCUGGGAUUACAGGUAUGAGUCACUGCGCCUGGCCUGAAACCACAUUCUUCGGACC
rnacentral:lncRNA from 10 species